rnacentral:lncRNA from 1 species
GUUUAACGGGACCAAUUUCUGGAACAUUCGGGACUGCGGCACCCUACGGCCAAGACCGAGAUUUGGGUCUGCGCAGGCGACGAUGGGUGGUCCGACGGGCUUCAGGACUUGAUGGCGUAACCCCCUUCUUCCCCCACGUACGUAUCUGCUGGGAUCGGGGGCGAUGUCUCUGCGUAUGUGGGUGCUCUGUCUUUCUCACCUUCUUUCUCGCUUUUUUGCUAUUUUUUCUCUGAGAGAGGUUUUUUGUGUGUUUUUUUUUUUUUUCCACUUUAAUUUUCUUUUCUUUUAGUGUCAGCUGCUCAAGCCUGACCGGGGUAGAGGCUAGAGGAGCAAGCUGUCCCCAGCGUCCCACCUGACCUACCAGCCUUUGCCCCCGUUUCCUUCUUUUGAACAGACAGACAGACUGGUUUUCCAGGUUGUUUGGGUAUCCGCGUCUGUCUGUCCAUCCACGUCGUUCUUAGGUGGCAGGUAGGAAGUGAGGAGGAGAGGUGCUGGGAGGAAGGUGGAAAGCCAUAGCUUUCCAGGGGUUGCCUUAUUGAAAUGUUCAGCCUCGGGGCAGCUGGGCUGGUGGGGAGCCGGUGGGCAGGAUGGGGCGUGGGUUGGGAGAAGUGGGGUAAAGCUGGUAGGUUUGUCACUGCGUAGUUGGGAAAAGUGGGGAAUGGUGACGCAGUCACUGUUGCAUCUUGUUAGGAGCUCCAAGGGGGACAGGUAGUGAGGCUCCCGGCAUCUGUAGGGCCAGCUGAGAGGGGUUAGGGAUGAGCUGAGAAGGGAAGCUAGCAUUUAGAGAUUAAAUGUCAUCCUUUUGGCGUUGGAAAGUUGUUUACCUUGCGCUCUCUGUGUCUCCAUGUUGGCACCCUUCCAGUUCACAUGUGAUGGCCUUCCUUGUACUGCUGCAUCAUUAACUAAGUGACUGAGCUGGCCUUCCAUUGGCCAGGGGAGGGCUCUCACUCCAGACAUUUCCUCUGAUUGGUGGGUGGGCCAAUGGCAGGUGAAAACCUUUUUUUGAUUGGCUGAGGGCAGGGUAUCAAAUCUGAAUUUGCAUUUCACUUGCUUAAAGGGGAGGGGGGGAGAAGCCCAGCAGCUUUCUAAAAUCUGUUUAGGGGUGUGCGUAUGCUCCUGUGUCUGUGCCUGCUUUUGACUGACCAGGUGAAGCCUCUUCCUAUGCCUUUUUUAUUUCAAGCACUCAGAGGAAGAGGAGCUCCGGGUUCCCCAAACUUUUUUUUUUUUUUUUGGAGUAGGAAGGGUUGGAGAGAUGGGUGCGCAGAGGGUUGACCAAACUGGAAGGAAGUAUUUGUCCUUUAGUUUGGUGUCGGAAAAGGGAAUUUUCCAAUCAGCCACACCUCGGUGUUGCGGCACAAUCAUUCUUGGCUCCCCUGGAAACGCACGGGGCAAGGUAGGACAGAUCUGCUGCUGCUGACACUGCCACCACCAUGGGCUUCCUGCUGCCUCUGGGCUGCUCCCUGGGGACGACAGAUUUGCAUUGACGGGGCUGUCCAGAGCUGAGCCCAGUGUGGGAAAGACCUGCCUUCUGGAAGCUGCUGCUCCUUGGUCUUGGAAAGGUGAGGAUGGGGACUGACCCCAGGAUGUUGCUCAGAAACUGCGCAUUUGGUGGGAUUUCCGGGAGAGCCACUGGGCCGCAAGAGGUUUGGAGGUCCCAGGUUAGGAAGGUUUGUCAUUCUGGGGAGUGAGGAGAGUGAGAGCAAAACUAGGGCAGCAGGCUGUUCGCCUGUGGUUGGGGGAGGGAGACUUGGAAAAAUCAGGGUCCCGGCUCCCCAUCGAGUCCGUGUUGCAGGUCUCACGUUUGUGGGGAGGGGGUUUCAGAGCCCUGCGCCUUGCGCAGUGGCCCCCGCCCAUGACUGCGCAUCCGGGAGCGCAAUGCGCCCUGGGUCGCUGGCCUAGGACAGCACCGCCCUUCUUCUUACAUAACGGAGGCACGGCUGUGCCUUCUCGGCCUUUCUUUGCAACCCUGCCUCCUGGCUCCCCAGGGCCCAUGGAGCUGGGGAGGGUCUGGUUGGGGAGCAGGGGAAGACUUGGCUCCCUCGGAGGGUUAGCCCUCGUCCAGUCAGUGAUGGGAGUUGGGUUUGAAGACAGAAGUGGGCUGCUGUCCCCCUUGGGAGGUGGUACGCAGAAUGUCCUUCUCAAUGCCCUGUGUCACCCAUGGCCCCCAGGACCUCUCGGGGGCAUGGGGUGUGACGUCCGUUCUUUCCUUCUUAUGCUUUCUGGGUUUUGAGAGGAAGUUUCUGAAGGGAAAGACAUGACGAUUCUAAGAGUGAGGAAGGGUGUGUGUCGGGGGCCCAGUUGGGAGGUGGUUGACAGUUCACUCCCCUUGUCACUGGCUUCCCUUUCCUUGGGUGGGUUGAUAGUGUUUUUGACUCCUUUUAUCCUAAGGCUGCCAUUUUGGAGGCAUUUCUGCUGGUCUCUGACAUGGUGGCGUUGGUUUUUCUGGUCCUGCUGUGCCAGUUCCGCAGAGUGGGCGGGGGGCGGGGGCUGUGACGGAGGAGGGGAGGGGGGGCAGAAGCGCAGCAGAGGCGGGCCCAGUGGUGGCUGCCGCAGUGAAGGUGGCCCCAGGGGCAGGACCGCCCAGUCCCACCCUCGGACACAGUCUUGGGUGGGGGUUCCACCACCUGGGGCCCCGGCUUGGCCAGAGGGUGGGCAUUGCUAACAGAAGGCCUGGGUCUCCCAUGCCCUCGUUGGCCUGAGGCUUAAAGCAGUCCAGGGCAGAAGCUGAGUUUUUUUGGGGGGGGUGUGUGUGUGGAGGGGGCGACUGAAGGCAGAGACCUGGCUGCUCAUCUCAGACGUGUCGGACCUGUGGUUUGUGUUCCCCAAAUAGGCUCUGUCUCCGACAGUUUCUCUAUGGGGACAAGGGGGUGGGGUCCAAGGCAGCUUUGAGGAUUUGUUCGAUGGCCCUCCCUUCUCAUUGUUUUUCUUUUCUGCUCCUCGUCAUGCCCCCUGCCAGUGCCAUGGUUCCAGCUGUAGUCCUCCGGUGAGGCUCCCUGCUGCCCGUCCCUCUCCUUUCCAGGCCCUUCUGCGUGCAGCGGCCAUCUUGUCUUUUCUUGCUUAGAGGUUUAAAAUGGUUUCUCAUCAUUUCCAGAGUACAAUUCCUUCCCUUUGGCACAGUGCUGAGGACUGUCUGUAACUAGCCUUAGCUCUCCUCUGCAGUCUUACUCUUCUGCGUUUCCCCAGGUGGACCACGUAUUCCAACAAAGCCAGGCAACUCACUUUUUCUUGCUUUUCCUAUCUCUCGGUUUUCCCUACUGGUAUUUUCCAUGCCUCCUUGGCUCCACCGCACCCACCUGCGGCAGCCCCACCGUCCUCCUUGGACCUUUCCCGAUCACCUUCACAAGCAGCAGUCCUCGUAACCUCUCCUUGCUCCCUCCGGCCAAGCUCUCGUACACUUUGUCCCUCUCGUGUGCUACUUCGGUGGCCUUACGGCUCUUGGUGUAGAAGUCUUGGGUCACCUACGAGAUGAUGAGCUGCAAGACGCUGAGAGUCAAGGAAGGAAGACACUUAACCUAUUUGGUGCCUUCUGUUCGCCAGGUGCCACGUCAGGCUGUUCCACGGACCUUCUUUCAUUUACUGCUUUCCACAACCCUCCGAGGAGAGUCCCGUGACUGGUAAGUGUUCUGAUCAUGAUUAGAACCCCUGUUUCCCCAAACCUUUGCCUUCUUCUUUACCUCUCAGUUCUCAGUGUCUGCCACGUGGCUCUUACAAGGUAGAUCCCCAGAACGUGCCUGUUUAAGGAAUUUCAUACACCUCUAAUGCCAUAUGGGAGUUUGGGUGGCCGCUCUUCCUGUGCCCGAGGUCUGGGUCUCGUAGCUGUUCCACGCUCCCCUGGACCCUGCUACCUCGUUAACUUUCUCCUCUUCCUUUGCGGUCAGGUUCACUCAAGAUGAUGGCUUUUUUUUUUUUUUGUAGCUGAAAUUUUGUUGGAUUAACAAACCUCAGUUAUCCUACUUACCUUCCUCCUGGAAGAGAAGGUGGAGGUGGGAUGGUUGUAGUACCUUCAGAGCAGAGUGAGCUCCAGAACCCAGGAUCAGUGGAGAUCGGACAAGGCAGGGAGCAGGACCAUUGCACUUGGAUCUUGACCCUGCCUCAUCUUGUUAGGUGGUUUUUCUGAGGCUUAGUGACCUCAGUCAGUGACAUGGAGCCACUGUAAUCUACAGUGAAAUGCCUAAUAUAUUGCCAAGCAAACAGGCUCCUGACAGAAAGUGGUGCACCUCCCUUUCCCCUGCCCAGCUGUUUUAUCGGGGACUUAAGAAGAGUACGUAGCAGGUGGCUGGAGAAGGAAUGGGGGGAAGGGAGCUUGCCAGCCUUCAGUGAUACCAGAGGCAGGGGAGGAGGUGACCGGGCAUUGCACACCUGAAGCCUGCGAGGAAGUGCUUUUCCCUGACCUGGAGUAAAGACCCCCUUAACUUCUGCAUCGGGAAAACGCUGUGGGACCAGAGCCGUGAGGUCAGGGUGGGUGGUGGCAGCGUGAGGGUUAACCAGUGAUCCUUCCUGGGAGCCUCGUGACGCCAGGUUAGCUUCCCCUCUUUCCGAAUCGAAUCGCAGCAGUGGCUGCCUGCUUCCUGACGCUGCUGCAUCCCGUGGGAGGGGAGUUGGGCACCCUGAAGCCCCUCGUCACCGAUUCCGGGGCUGCAGAGCAGAGAGUGACGACAGCCCAUGAGUCGUCAGCCGACGGCAAUGGGGACCCUGGUGACGGCUGCUUUGUUGUGUUUUUCCUCUUUGGAUGAUGACUCAGUGUGUCGGGAGCUGGGAGAUGGGGCACUCAGCCGAAUGGCCAGGACGUUCUGUCAACAUGAAAGCAGCAAAAACAGCUUAUCGGGGCUCAGAGCCGACCCUUAGGCUGGGUUCAUUUUCGGGAAGGGCUUGGCAGAGAAGAGCACUUCUGGACAUCGGGGGUGGGGAGACAAGGCCAGGUAACCCAACAGGGGUCUGUGGACCCUUCAGUUUCAGAAACCAAAAAGAAAAUGCAGCUGCUUGUGUUAUUAGAUAAGCUUGGCAAACGGUCAUUUUACAAGCUCCUCUCACCCGUCCCAAACAAGAGACAUCUUCUCAGGGCCAGAAAACCCUCCGGGAUUUCUCACCAUGGCUCAUUGUCAUAGAUGGAGGGUGAGCCCGUCUCGGGUAGGGUGGGCCUGGGAGUCCUUAGUGAUCACUGGCAUUCCGGGGCCCCGGAAGCAAGAGCCCAUGGUGGGGACGUGGCGUCUCAGGUGACCUCUGCUGGCAUCACACCAGCAGACGGUGUCACCCACCAGAAGAUGGUGGGUCCACGUCACCGGCCUCAAGCCGAAGGCCAGCUCUGGCGCAGCCUACUUCAGCCUCCCCUUUCCUUAUUGUCCCGAGUCAAACUUACCUUCUCGCCUUUCAUCGUCCUCAAUUCCUUCUUAGGUGAAAUAGUGGGCCUUGAGUCCUUGACCUUUGUGUGUGUGUGUGUGUGUGUGCGUCAUCAUGGCGGCUCAGGGUUCUAGACUUUUCUUGAAUCUGCAGCAUUGCGCUAAGGGCGCGUGACAUUCCCCCCCGCCCCGCCCGCCCGGCCCCGCCCAACCAUGGCCAGCCAUGCCUUCUUGGGAGCAAGAGAGGCCUGGGCCUCCAUUGCCACUGAAUCUCAGGCAAACCACUAUCCUCAGCAUCUGGCUUCCCUUCUCUCCUCUGUCUCCCUCGGCCCUUGUCUGGGGACAGAGGAGCAAACAACUUGUGGGUGGGGAAUUGAGGACGGCCUGGCCCAGGACCACCCUGCCUAUGUACCCCUUAGGCCAUUUUUCAGUCUCCUGCUUUCCCAUAGAUGAUGCUUAGCACUGACAUUUGUCGCCGAGCACCUCCUCCGCUCCCCAAGGACCUCCCAGUGUGACUCAUUUGGGAUCUCUGCAAGGAGUGGCUUUGGGGCCUUGGGAGCCAGGGGGAGCAGGAAGACCUGGUGGAGGUCACAGUGGAGAGGUACGCAGGGCAAAGGACGAGAGCCGGCUGUCCCUGGCCCAGAAUGCAAAGGCAGCCCCAGCCCCUUUGUGUCAUGUCAUUUUGAGCCUGAAUAGAGAGCAACUUGACCUAAAAAAAAAAUCGUAUAUAUGUGGAUGUUAGAUCCUUUGUGUCUCUUUGUCCAGAAGCUGCGCAUAUGACGAGGGCUCAGAUUCUGUACUUCAGAGAGCUCUGCUGUCCCUCAGGUUUGUUUUCCGAAGGAGGUGGUAGUUCCUCUUUGAUGAGACCCUGUGCCCACGGGGACUGGACUUUUCUCCAGGACAAGGGGCACAGCCUUGUCUUGUUGCUAUCAUUGGAUAGUGAGCAGCAGCUGAAGACCAUGGUCCCGGGGCCACAUAUUAGCCCCAGAUGGAACCCUGAUUGGGGCUUGCAGAAUUCAUUGCUUGGCUGGCUGGCCCCAAGAGCUGAGCCUACCUGGCUUCCUUUCACUUCUUCCCCACUGAGAACUCAGAGGAGUUGAGCUCCAUGAGUCGGUGACAGCCUCUUGGAGACUCAGGCUAAGCUGGGGACAGAGCUGGUGUGCAGAAGACAGCCAUCAUACCGCCUAAUAGAAUGGCUUGCAUUUAUUUGGAACGAAAAAAGGAGAUGCCUGGCAGCCUGGCUUUCUGCAGCUAAGUAUUCGUCUGCAUUCUGGUUUUCCGUCACACAUCGGAAGCGAUAGAUGUUCAUUGAACCCACCCAGCUGCCGUGACUUCUCCUUUCCCCGCGCACCCCUGCCCCUGAUCCUCCAGCAGAGAUUGGAUUUUCUGGUGCGGCUGGAGAGCUGCAGAGAGGCUAGAUCCCAGUGUCCAGCCCCCGCACAUCGCCCUCACAUUCAGGAGAAGUCGAUUUUCCCUAAAGCGGAGCCUAAAGCCCAUGUCCCUCAGUGCGGUGUUAUUAAUGGGCCGACGGGAAGGGCCCUGCUUGCCCUCACUGCCCCCAGCGGGGAGGUGAGGCUCUCGGCUGGCUGGCUGGGGGAGGACGGUCCUUGCCAGCAUCUAGCAUGGUUCUCUGCCAAGUUCUAGCUCCAAAUCUCUAGGCCGCUAGGAACCUAGACUAUAUAUAGCAUUGUGCUAAGCAAUUCUUAUCGGACAUGUCUGCCCUCCCCUGCGGGAGAGGAGCCCUUCUCCCAGGGAACCGGAACCUAGAGAGUGUGAGCCUUCUCCAAGGGGUCUUUCGUUCCAGGAAGGGCUGUGUGUGUGUGUGUGUGUGUGUGCGCGCGCGCGCGCGUGGCUGUGUCUGCUUCAGGGCUGCCAAGCUUUCUUUCCUUUUCCCUGUUUCAGAUGCUGCGAGAUCGGAAGGUCUGAUUGGGAUGAGGGCCAGGAGGUUCUUGAUGGUGUGCGAUGUGGCCUAUGGCGUCCACCAGCCUCCCGCAUGUCUUCUUGGUUUCCUGUUUGCCUUCUUUGCCCAAGGAGGUCUUCUGACCUCUUGAGCUUCUUUUGGAUCUCCUGUCUUCCCUGCCCUCCUCUACCUCUUCCUCCUCCUUCCUUUGAUUCUCUUUCGGGUAUGUGACGGCAGACUGGGCUACGGGCAUCCGGGAGCUGUGUCUGCUCGCCGCCCUCACCACCGCCCCCUCCCCCCCCCCACCAGUUUGGGGUUUCUGGAAAUCUGGCUUUAGUCAGCCGUCCUCUGGAGGAAUUGGGUGGUGACUGAGCGUUUCGUGCUGGGUGGUACGGGGCAGAGCAGGCUGGAUAUUUGCCUCCUCCCUCCCGUAGGUGCUGUCGAGCCACCGAUUUUCUGUGGUUCCGCGACCCCGACCGAGUGCUGACUGAUGUGACAGGUUCCGGUCUUGUCAGUGAAUCAUCGCCAAGCUGCUUAUUGGAACCCAGAUGCAGCAAGAAAAUGGGAUUUAACCCCUUCCCAGCCUCUCAGGUAAGUCAGGUGUGGGCUGACGCUUCCGGCCCCACCCCCCCCCCCCCCAGCCCCCUUCCCUUCUCAUGGAGACCGUUUUCCUUAGUCAGUGGGGAAUCCUCAAACGUCUCCAUUCACAAUCUCCCAAACAAUGCUCUCUUCUUUCCAUUCUCCUACUCCUGGCUUUUCUGUGAAUGGGGUUAGUAACCAGCAAGGACUUGGGGGAAGGGCCAGCCACAGUGAUCCGGCUGCCGGGAUGUGGGAGAUGGCAGGGACGCGUUUCUGGGUGUGGCAGUCAGCAGAGCAGUUGGGCCUCCCACAGUGACUGGCCGGGAACUCUCCUUGGCCCCCAACAUCCAGCAUGAGAUUCUGGGUUUGAGCCCGGUUGGGGGCAGGGAGUCUGCCUGGGACUUGGGUGUGCCCUUGCUUGUGUAUCCCAGUGGAUGUUCACUCUGACUCUGGACACCUUGGGGCUUGCGUCUGCAGCCGUAGCCUGGAGUUUAGACUAUGGGCUGGGCAGUAGACUUCAGGGCUCUUUCUCCACUUGCGUGUGUCAUGGGGCUUGUUUUGGGGCUUUUUUUGUUUGUUUUUUUGUUUUGAGUAAAUCACUCUCUUCCUCUAGGCUCUCAUUGCCUUCACCUUAAAAAAAAAAAAAAAAAAUUUCCUGGCCUGGUAAACCAUUGCAAAGCAUCUACAGGCUGUUGACGUACAAAUGUUUUUUCUCUGCCUUACUUGAUGCUGGUCACAGUAAUAGCAACGGUGAUUAAAAAUGAUGUUGGGACUGCAGAACUGGGGAGGCCUGUCGCAUUCUAGAGACAGUUCAGAAAGCAGACCGUAGUCGCUUGCCACGCUGCCUACCAGGAAAUCUCCUAUUGAAUGCAUUCCUGCAACGUUCUGGGCGAGCAGGGUCAGGUUGGAAUUAGCCGACAGCGGAUUUGUCUGGGGUCUCAAGAUAAAAGGGAUGGUCCCCGGUAAUUUUACCGCACACUUGGCUGAUAUCUGGAGGCACCUGUGGGAUCCCACCUCUGCUCUCCCCACCCCCUUCCCAUCACUGGCCAGGAAGGACCGGUGAAUUCUGCCCGUCAGUGUUUUAUCUUCUCUCCUCCCCAUCUGACCGGAGGCUGAGCUGGCUGUGAGCAGCCUGAGGUCCUCCCGGAGUGAGGAAUCCGAGGCUGUUGGGAAGAGACACCCGACUCUUCUCUUCCCUGAAGGAAUUUGACAAGUCUCAGCCCCUCCAGCAGUAACGUGGGGAGGGAUGGCUGGGGGUGUUGGACCUGGAACAUGAAUAAAGAGGAGAGAUCAGCUUUGGUGCAGCUGGGGAGACGAGGAGGAGCUGGCCAAGUCCCUCAAGAUGUGUCGGCUAGAGUCUGGCCAGUGCAGGCUGCCGGGCCGGAGCCAGAUGGAGCCGCUGGCCACGCUCAGGAGCCUCUGCCCCCAUAUGGUGUGGUGUGGUCCCGGGCCUGGCUCAGGGUGGCCGCUGCUCCCAUUCACAGCCCUGCCCUGCCCUUGGCUGGACUGGGAAGAUCAGAGUGGGAAGCGGAGGGAAAGUUGAUUUUGCUCCUUGUGACGCAGUUGUCUGCGGGGCCUCUGGCGUUUCCAGACUUGGGGUGGGUGCUUCCCCGUUGAUUUUCCUCAUUUUGUUCGUCAUCUGCUUCCUUGCUCCCUGCUUACCGGGCUGGAUUCUGCUGCCAUGACACGGGCAUUACGUGUCCCCAGCCAAGCUAGCACCACGGUUGGCGUCCCCUGAGAGGGGGACCGGGCAUAUCUGGCACUCGGUUCUCAACCUUUGAACCCCUGCGCUCUGGGAGCCAGGAGGCAGAGUGGGGCCUCUCCAUCCGGGGUCCAGCAGAGGUUAACAGGGCUGGUGGUGCCGGAGCUGCGGUGGUGUGGCAUGGCCAGGAGGCGCUGGGGAGGGGCCCCGCCGGGGGACCUGAUUGGUCAGCACCUUCUCUGUUCCACUGAAUCCUGAGCCGGUCGGGGCCGUGAAUUGUUUAAUGCAUAUCUUGGCUCUGUCCCCUGGCACGAGGGCCUCCGAGGCUGCAGCCACAGCUUUAGCGAGGAUGUGUACCUCGUGCUGGUCACUGUUUUGGGCACGUUGCCUCCCUGUGAGAUAUGAAAGAGAUACUGCCCUUUCCACUAGCAGGCUGUCUGUGGGAGGCCCUCCUUUUGCGUUGCUUUUCUGGGCCUUGGAGUGUCUGUGAAGAAGGCCUGGGCUGGGUUUGAUUCCUUGCUGGCUCCUUUCACAGGAGGCUGCUCGUGAGCUGGUGAAGCCAGAGAAAACCUCCAGGCCCCAAGGCCCGUGCACAGCCUGAUGCGAUAGUGUCGGGCCUGGGCAGGAAGGAGCAGGGGCACGAGGAUGGAGCGAGGCACGCGGGGACGUGGUCGCGCAUCGUCUGACCACAGGAUCAGGGCAGCGGGGGUGGGGUGGGAGGAUGCGUCCGGCGUUCAACCAGCGGUGCCCGCUGCAGCCUGGAAUGGGCCUGUGUGUGCGUGGAGCCCAGGUCAGGGUCUGUAAUGAGGCGUGAGGCUAUGAGAUGGGCAUUGGGACUCUUGGUCCCGGCAGAGGGUCCCAGGAAAGGGAAACUGACUUUCGUUAAGCGUCUGCUUUGCUGGUCUGAUUUCAUCCUCAGAGCAACUGCAUGAAGUAGGUAUUACUUCCCUUCAACAGAUAAGGAAGCCGUGCGUAGUAAUUCACUGAACCAAGGUCACAUACUUGGCAGGUGGGAUUGUUGAGCUUUAAACCCCGGCACUUUGGAUUCCAAAGCCUGUGCUUUUUCUUCGCCCUCUUGGGUGGAAGUCAGACAUCUUUGGGAGCUAAGACCAUCAGAGAUCAGGCAGCCAGGAGAUCUGACGGAAACCGGUGUGAAAGGCCAGGUGCCUAGGGGGGGACGUGGCAGCCACUGGCCAUAGCCAUGCCAUAUCCCUUUCGGGGGGAGGGGGGCAAGGCAGAGGCAGCUAGUUUCUGGUGUCCCUGAACAGGCAGGGCUGAGCAUGGCAGAUACACCCACGCCACAAGUGUGCGCCCAGUCUCUGCUUCGUGGCGGGGUGUGUGCUAGGAGCUGGGGAUGCAGAACUCUACAAAACCAAGUUUCUGCUCUCCUGGGAUGUACUUUCUGGUGUAGGGAGAGGUCGUUCACGAUAAUAAAAAAGGAAUUAGGAACUAUAUAAAGUAUGCAGAUACACAAAGGGGGACACCCACCCAUAAGAAGCAGCGAUCCCAAUGUUGGUCGGGGAGGGAAUUUGAGAGACUGAAGGAUCUCGACCACCUGGGGAAGCCAUAUUGAUGGAGCCCCCAGAGUUCAAGUUGAUAGAGUUGCUAAUGCCUCUCUUUUCCUAAGAGCUGGAAGAACCACCCAAGGUCCCCAAAGCUUACAAGAACGUGCAGUGAGUCAGGGAUCAAGGUGGCAGUAGACGUCAAGCCGUUGGUCACCAGCAAACGAAGGUUUUUCCGUUAGCCAUGGCUGCUCUUGGCCUAAUGUCUCCCCCCCUCACCAGGUGGCAGCUGGCGCCUCUCUGCCUCGUCACGGUGCCCCUCUCUCGUCCACACCGACAGGGGAGCGCUCGGGUUAAGUCUUCGCCAAGUCACCAGUAAAAUAUGUGCCUGCAGGAGACAGAACUCAGCUCAGGCUCUCCUGGCAGAACCCGUGGUUCCAAGAUUAUCGCGAUAGGGACGGGUCAGGGGGCGGGAGAGGGAGGAGAAGUCACCUUGUGCCAGAUGCUUGGACAAGUUUUGUGUCCAAAAGAGGCUGAGGCAAGUUGGUGGCUGGAGAUGGGGGAGGGGAUGUCUCCAGCAUGUGCGGCUCCAGGGCUCAGGAGUUGUUUACAGGGUAGAAGCUUAUGGUGAGUCAGGCCACGUGAUUCUUCCCUCCCUGGCCCCGUGGUCGAAGCCUGCCCCACUUGAACCUCGGAGACUGCCACCUGCUGCCAGGGGGCAGAUGUUGCACGAAGGUGCGGUGUGGGUCUUGGGGUGUGGUUGUGGGAACUCCGGGAAAGGGGGCGUUCUGUGGAGUGGUAUAGAAGUCUCCACAGUCCCGUGUUCUGGCCCAGGAUCCCGUGGUAAAAUCUUACUCACUUUACCCUUUUGGGACUCACUUUCAUUAUUUAUCAGAUGAGGGGGUUGAACCAGAAUCUUCUGGGAGGUGCCUGCCGACUCUGACAUGGGGGCUACCUGGGUGUUCGCGGAGGUGUUUCUUAAGCAGAAACUCAGGUCGGGAACGAGCAGGCCUGACUUACGGGAGAGGGGAGGGGCCUUGAAGGAUCUGAGAACAGCUACAGUCCUGUUUUCUGCAGGGAUGCUGUCACCAUCAAUUAGGGCAGGUGGGUGGAGACAGUUUUCCAGGAACUCUUCAGGAGCGAGCGGGAAGGGGCCGGAGAUUGCGUGAAGGUGUCUCAGGAAGGUCACCCAAGUGACAGGGGUUGUGACCUCUGGCUCCCACCAAGGGGCCUGUCUGGAGCUGGGCAGUGUGGGGGUCUUUGCUGUGCCACAGGGGCUGAUCUGAGAUGCCACCGUGCUCUAGGGAAGAUGCUCUGUCCUUUGUGGCCCUGAAUCCUUGAGGGAACACGGGCCUACAGGUCCCGUGUCCUGGGCCUUCCCUGAGACGUCUGUUCAGGGUCUGUGCCCCUUGCUGUCAGGAAGUCUUCCUUUAUAUUUAGCCAUUUUUUUCUCAUGUGGUUGUUUAAGCCCUUCUAUUUAAAAAAAAAAAAAAAAGACAAGAGAAAAAAAACAAAAACAAAAAUAUCUCCGGGCCUCUUGGUUCCAUUUUAGCUUUUCAGUCUUGAGUCACUGUUUUAAAGGUAGCAAAAGUAAAACACAUGCAGGGAAGCUCAAGGCCCCAGACCCUCGUGGGCUGUUGUGAAAGGCCAGCCCGGGGAUAUGGCGGCCUCUGUCCCCAACGUCCCCCGCUUCUCCAAGGCUGCGUGGGUAGGAGCCCCUGGGGCUGCGGGCACGUGCUGCGCGGGCCGCCGAAUGGAAUGCAGGGUUUUCAAAUUAGCAAUUUGCCUUCAAGACACAAUCCGUGUGCUGCUUUACUGGACACUUACGCUGGGACUCGUAGCUGUGAGCCUGCCCCCUUCCCCACCAGGGUGGGGUGGCAAACAGGGAUUUGGGCCAGGAUUCAGGCAGGAGCCGAACUGAUCCGUGACCGACGUCUUAUGCACACCGUGUGUUGUUUUUGCAGCUCUUUUCAGACUCGCUGGCUCACUUGGUCCUCACACAGCCCUGUGAGGGUCGGUGGUAGGAUCCCCGUGGGUGUUCAAGCUCAGCCUCAGACAGCCCUGCUGAGGUCCGGUUUCUUGUACCUGCUUAAUUUGGGUCACCGCAGCCGCCCCCCUCCCCCCCCCCGCCCCCAGGCCCUCCGACUCCAGAUGUCAUUUCCUUGGGUUUCAGUUGUGCUCUUUAGCUGAGCAGGGGGGCAGGGCAGGGAUGGGGAGUGCAUCUUGGGUAGCCGACUUGAUCUCUGUAGGUUGCAGGUUUCUUUUCUACGCAUCGAAUGGGGAAGGGAGCCUCCGCCCAGGUUCUCCUGUUCUUGGAUUGUUUCAACUUCUCUUACGAGGAGUUCUUAUGAAACCUGGCUUGCCCUCCUUGACCAGGAAGCCAGCCAUUCACCAUGUGUCUCUGGUGAGACUCCCUACGUUUGGAAGCUUCUGGAAUAUACGGUGCUUUAGACCGUUCCGACACAUCUGUCGGGCACUUCAGGCAUGUGCAUGUAGCCCUGUUUCUGCCAAGUGGCUCACUUAGAAAUGAAGCCCCAUUGUGGGGCAUUUUUUUUCCAACAGAUUUAUAAGGUAUGCCCAGAGCUUUCUGCCCAGCGUGUGCAUCGUGUAUACGUUAUCUGUUUGCUGGCUAAUUAACAUACAGCACCCGCUGGAAGGAUUGGCCAAUGUAUUCUGUAAGCUGGUGGAACCAGUGGCUUCAGCUCUGAACGUUGCUUUCUGAUAGAGUUGAAAAAGUAGGCCUUACCCACAGAGGGGAAGGUGGAUCAGAGAACGCCUGGGCAUCAGUGUUCCCUGGAUACUGGGCGUAAGCCCACUCUUUAUGAGGAGGGUUGAGGCACAGCCUGGACUGUGUCUUCUGGGCCGCGUGGCCCUCUGAGUGGCCUUUAUUCAGAGAGACCCAGAGCGAGCCUGUAUGAAGGGAGAGAGAAGUACUUGUCUUUGUUUAUGGCACCCUUAACUCGUGAUGGUUGGGCUCACCUCGGGCACGUUUCUUGAAGGAUCGGGGUCGGACAGCGUGGCAGCACGCAUAUGUCUGUCCGUUUGUAUUCCCCGGAUGCAGGCUUGGCUCGUAGAGAAGCCCUGCCAUGGGGAAUCCAUAGAAGAAUUGUUUUGCUGGAGCGAAGGCUUUUGAUAACUUUUGUGUGAAGAUGCGUCACACCACACCCAGAUCUUUCUGUUCUCCUGGAGGAUGGGAAGGAGGAUGGCAGGACCUGUAGCUGGGAAGCGAUCUAGGCCAGCCUUCAGGGAGGGCUGUGGCGGCCUCUUCGCUGAGGGCUCCCAAAGAGACACAGAGCUUCUUUAUCUCAGAAGAGGGACUGGAUGUCCCUGUCGAGGUCCCUCGGGUCCUGAGCGUGUGGGACUGUGAGGCUCUCCCUGGAACAGCGUGAACUUCGGGUACCAGGACCCAGAGCAGAUUGCACAUCUUUUCUUUCUGCCGUGGAGGCAAGCCUAUCCUCGGUGGGCCCCACGAGCAUCGGGCCUGGAGCUCUAACCUUGUUCCCUCGUGCAGAGAGAAUUCCCAGAACUGACCCGAACAGCAUUGAUAUUAUUUGCAAAUAAAAAAAAGGAGAAAGCCAUGUUGUCCCUCAUCGCUGCCAGGAAAGAGCCCCGAGCGGCUCUAAUCCUGUCUUUGUACCGCUGCCACUCCCCACCCUUGCUGACCCCCCCAGCCUAGGGCCCUUUGAUAGGCACUAGAGAUGUGAAUGAGUUUGGUGGGAAGGCCAAGGGCAGGGACAGACAUGGUUUGCUGGGAAGAAGGUAGGACAAGGAAAAGGAGUAUCUCAGGGCAGGCCCACGGGCACACACGUGUGUAUUCAGAUGGACAUACUAUUUACUGGUAACGCCAGAGUCUGACAUGAACCAGUUAAUGCCUAAAUGAGGGUUGAUUUCGUGUGGAGAAUCAUACAUCAUUUUGUGUUUCAGUCUGCAGCUUUAGCAUCAAAAGGCCUGACAGGCUGGGGACUUUUCGCUGGGCCCUCCUGUCUGUAAGAUCAUGCUCAUUUUAUAUUGAUUUUCUGUCUCCUUUCUUUCCUGUUUUCCACUCUCAUGCAUUCCUUAGGUGUACAUGAAUAUUUGUCCACGCAUUCGUGUUACGACUUCCUUGGGGUACUGUUCUUUUCAGUGUCUCCGACAUCAUUGAAUGUAUUGCUUUUAUUUAAAAUGUGAACAGGCCAGAGGCUCACUGCAGAGGGGAGCCAUCCUUGCACUGCCCACAGAAUCCUCUUCUCCACCUUGUUCUGGAGUAGGGCAUAGACGGGAAUCAAGGGUGUCUGUGGGAACCAGCCAGACCCCGUGCCAUGCCCCCUCUUUGGGAAGGGGUUGCUCAGGCAUGAAUCUCCCACCCCUAACAUUAUUAGCAGUUUCUUCUUUUCAGCUCGAACCCUGAGUAGUGGCCUUGAAAGUCCAAGAACACCUGUCACCCUGCUUAGGUGAGGGCGACAGAGAGGGACGGGGACAGACGGGAAGGGGACACACGCUCCUGGCCACGGGCCUCUCUCCAAGACAGGUGAACUCUGUGUUCCAAAAGGAACUCAUUUAAUCUUUUGGCCCCAAUGGAAGUUGUUUGUAUUUUCUCUCCCUCUCUCUUCUCCCUCCUCUCUCUCUCCCUCAACACCCCCGCCUCCACCCUCCAGCCUCCAAAAGAAUUUAAUCUGCUGGACAACAAACAAUACUGUUAUAAAACUUUGAAAACAAGAGGGUGAGGCCUCCCUGACAAGGAGAAGGGCAUGCCGGGUAACGGCCGAGGGAGCCUGCCAGGCCCGGGACGGAGCCGGGCGAGGGCCCAGUUGGCCGGGUACCUGGGCGCCUGCCCCCACCCAGCCCACCAGCCCAGCCAUCCCCAGUCCAGAGGGGAAGGAACCGAAACAAAAGCAGGGGCAGAGAAGCGCCUGGAAAGGGGAAGUUGUACGUGUUCCCCUCUCUCUGAUCUGAUGCGAGUGCGCCAGACUGUGAAACUUCCUCCCCCACCCCUCCCCCGCCAGCCUCCCUCCCUCCUCGUCCUGCCUCCUCCUGCCUCCUCCCACCACUCUCUGUUCCAGGCCCGAGGCCCGAUAACAGAACAGGGCUGGCCUAGGUACAGCCACCGGCCGGCCGGCCGGCUGCAGGGGAAGCAGGCAAGGAAGGUGUUCCAAGUUGGCUUUGGACUCUGGACGUACCCUCUGUGUCCCCUUCCUGCCCCCAGCUAGAGAUGUGGAGCCACGGUGCGAGGUGUGCCCCAGUCCACGUGCCCCGCCAGGGGUGUGCCCAGCUACCGGGAGAACCUCCGCUCGGAGGUUAGUGGGUCUGUCCCACUACCCGGUGUCUGCUGGAGGCCAUGCUCCCAGGAGGCCGUCAGACUCGUACCGGUGGCCUGCUCUCCCUCCAGAGGGAGCCGGGCUGAGCUGUAGAGCCCUGGAGCCUCCAGAGGGGCUCGGGGGACAGAGACUUGCUCCCCGCAUCAAGCAGGCACAGGGUCCUGGCAGCGGGGUGCCUGGUGGGGUACCGUGUCUGCUGCUCGGGGUGACCCAGCUCCGCCUGGGGAGCAGGCAAGCUGGGCGCUGGGGCAUCGCCCCCCAGCCUUCUGAGUGGAUUUCACCUGAGACCGAAGUUUCGCUGCCACGCCCACCUGCACUGCGUGGAGCACAUGAUUUGGGACGGGAGAGUGAGAAGCAGCGGUGGUCUGCCUUUGGCCCAAGGUUGUUUGGACCUGUGAACCGUGUGGUGGGCAUUGUGUUUGUGUAAUGGACUGUAGGCGUGCUCGCUUUCCUCUCGUGGGAAGCAGUUCAGGGCACUGCCCGUCCUCCUGCUCUGCCUGAGCGAAGCCUCUCUCUGGGGAAGCGUGGGGGGGCCCCCCCUCUUCAUUCCAUCGCUCCUCCUUCUCUGCGCUCCCCACUGUCCCCUGCUGCCCCCCCCCACGCCCCACAGCACCCCAAGGCAUCCCAUCCUCCCAGCCAGCCGACCAGCCAUCCCGAGCCUGGGCCUGUCCUGAAUCUGGAGGAUUUCCAGAUGCGGGUCUUCUCUGGUGUUGAGGCAGGGACAGAGAACUGAACCGGGUGGAAAGCAGCUGCCUGGGAACUCAGGCCGCGGUACCCCGGCCCCAGGGAAAACCGGCAUUGCUGACGUGGGGCCCAUGUGAUAUGAGAAGGCUGUGACCUCCUGCCCUGUUACCUCCACAGGCAUUUGAGGGGCUCGGUGGGUCUAGAGCGUGUUAUUCUCACUUCGGGAUGCCGGGUCUGGGACGUGUAGGGAUGCCUGGAUGCCCCGCCCUUCUUUUGGGGGCCACGCUGCCAGGGAAAGAGCCAGCUCCAUGUUUCCUGCCUCCCUCACCCUCCAUUCCCUCCUCCCUUGCCCCCCGUGCACAUACCCAUACACAUUUUAUCACCCUUUCCUCUGAUUCAUUAACCACAGCUAGUUGGCAACAGGCCCCCACCCUGACAGCUCAAGACAAAAUGUCCAGGACACUGGGUCUGGCCUGGAGCUGAGUGACAGGAAGCUGGGCCGGGCCUCUCGGCUCACGCAUACAAUGGGCAAGGACCGUGUGGAGUGCAGAACCUUCCUCAUUUUCAAAAGGGUCUUCCCCAGGCCCCUCUCUCUCACCAAGAUGACUCUUCUUCGCUGCCAGGAGCCUGGAAACCAGCAUCCCGGGUAGCAGGAAGACCUGAUCUGGGCUCUGCUUCCGGCACCCCUCCCCCGCGCCGGCUGGAGCUUGCGUCAGUCAUGUAAGUAGCCGUGACUCAGCACCCAGCCUGGUCGGGAGGGAGGCAGAAGACGCCUCCCAGGAACCUUCCCAGCAUUCUGGAUUUGAACACAUGGUGGUAGCUGAACACACUGAACGAGCUGGCGGCCUUCGGUUCCUGGGGGUGCGUGUCUGUCCGUUCCGCGGGUUUGCUUAUAGGUCUCAUAAACCGGGGUUCCUCUCCUUCCCGUUUUCAUCCCGUGUUAUUUUUUGGACCCCAUGCCUGGCAUAGGAUUUUUAGGACUUUAAAAGGCACAGACGGCAUCAUUUCUAGAACGCAGCAGAAGCUCUCUUUGCAGUCUCCAGACUGCCCUUUAAACCGAUGGCCCGUGAAUCAUCUUUAACCCUCAGAUGUUUUUGUUUGACUUACAGAGUUUUCAUUGUUUUUGUUUGUUUGUUUGUUUGUUUAACGUGUCCGAUUCAGACAUGCUUUUAGACAAAACACAGCCUCUCCAGGUCACUGGACCUCUGCUGCACGAGGUCUCUGCCUCUCUGUCCUGUUUCCCACCCCAGCCCUCAAGCAUUUGAAUGCACGGAGACUGGUCUGCAUGAGCCCUCCCUCGUUUUGGAAAAACUGGGGCCCAUUCCAGGGAGGUGCGGGUCCCCCGUUCUCAAGUCUGGGCCGCGCAGGAAUUAAAGCCCCUGUGUUCUGAUUCACUGUGUGGUGACCUUUCCUCCACCCUCGGUCGCUGCCCGGGCAGAGGAGUGUCUAGGCAUGAGGGGGUGGAAAACCCUCCAAAUAGAACGUCUGCACAGAAAUGGACGGAGGCUGCACCGUGCUUCCCAGACCUUCUCCCUGCGUGGUGGCGUACCCAGCUCUCUGGCUGGGCGGUUUCCCUUCCCCGACAGCGCACCAGACCCUUCCCACUGGCCCGUGUGCGUGGGACUGUUGGGCCAGGCUGGGACGAUCACACCGUCCGCCUUUGACAGCAGAGCCCUAGCAGGCUGGGGCCUCCAGCCCCCGUUAGACCACCUGGCCCCGUCCAACAAGGGAACAGAAACACCAGCUAGCUUCAGGUAAGUGCAUCCUUGCUCGAUGGACUUUUGCCAGAAAAGCCUGGUUCCCCUGGGAGGGCUGAGACCCGAGCAGACUCCUGUUCAGUGGGGUUGGGAGGGCAGAAGGUGUUGGUACUAGGAUUACUUACCCCACCCCCACCCCCGCACGCCCCGCCUUUUCUUGUCUUACGGUGUUUAUGUUCAUGUGUUGUGAAUGAUUUCUCUCUUCCUCCAGAGAACUGAGUGUUGUAGACCUCGGUCUGGGGGCCCAGACCCUGGUUCAUGGCCCUCGGUUCCCUCAGUGACGGUUGCCACUCCCCCUCUGAACUCAGGGCCGAUGCUUCCUGGGUAGCGGGAGAGACUGUAAUGAAUCCCCCUGAUGACCAUGUGACGUACGUGCGUCCUGAAGGACAAGAACUAGGUGCUGUGAGAGGGCGUAACCCAACACCUGGCUCACCUGGGGAAAGCUUCAGGCGACCUGCGUCACCUGGGAGAGGGUUGAUGGGGUGGUAGCCCUGGGAGAGUGGACGACAGAGAAUGUUCCAGAAAGAGGGAAUGGUGUACACAGAGGCCUGCUAGGGGAGGAAGGAGGCUGUCUGGAUCACUGAAAGACACCUGUGUGACAAUACCUUGGGAAAGGUUUUGUGGAUACUGGCAGUCGGGGGUUACUAAGGAGGAAGAGUUUGGCUGGAGUAAAAAGCAAAAAAGCUGAGAAGUAGCAAAGGUAGAUCUCCAACCCCCUCGUUUUAUAGGACCCCACAGAAAUGACUGUCAUUUACCACUUACUUCCUGACCUUAAAACCCUGGAAGUUAACCUGUGUCGCGGGGCCCAGCUGUUGACUGCAGGUGCCCUGUGUCAGAGCUGCUGCCCAGCUCCUCCCUCAGUGGCUGGGGCC